UGUUUGGUAGUUUAGUGGUUAGUACACCCGCUUGUCAUACAGCUUCGCGGGUGACCAGGGUUCAAUUCCCUGCCAGAGAG